CAUCGCCGCGGGAAUACGGAGGGUGCAAGCGUUAUCCGGAUUUACUGGGCGUAAAGCGUGCGUAGGCGGCUUCUUAAGUCGGAUGUGAAAUCCCUGAGCUUAACUUAGGAAUUGCAUUCGAUACUGGGAAGCUAGAGUAUGGGAGAGGAUGGUAGAAUUCCAGGUGUAGCGGUGAAAUGCGUAGAGAUCUGGAGGAAUACCGAUGGCGAAGGCAGCCAUCUGGCCUAAUACUGACGCUGAGGUACGAAAGCAUGGGGAGCAAACAGGAUUAGAUACCCCCGUAGUCCCUGUCUCUUAUACA
rnacentral:rRNA from 1 species